GCCGCUUCCAUCUUCCCUUGAUUUUCUUUUUGCCUCUUGCUCUUCUGAAUUUUUUUCUUUUUCUUUUUUACUUUUUCUUUUUUACUUUUUCCCUUACCCCUCACGCUGCGCCGUCUCUGACGUGGCAAUGCCUCCAUCUUCCCCGUUCCCCGACAUCCUGUGAUUGGGAGGCACCGAGACACCUUGACAGGCGAGGACGACAUAUCCAAUCAUUGAUGCUAUCUGUGAUCACAUUCCAUCUCCCCGAGACAGAUUUGUCUCACUCUUUAAUUCCCAGGAGAUUGAGAUUUUCCUUUGUGAAAAUUUCUGUUGCUGCGCCGCAGGCUGUGCCAGGAUGAGGAUAAUGGAUUGGCUCUGGGGGGAAAUGGUAUUACUGAUCUACUGGCCUGGCUGCGACGAGGACGUUUGGGGUGCAAGGAGCACAGAAUACGGCCAGGGGAGGAGGGGGGGUGGGUUAGGGGCAAUUUCCGUAGCACAGGGGGGUUAACGACUGUCGUGUGGAAGGUGUACUUAUAUUUGAAAGGGCCCUGUGUUUACGGGCUUAACUACCUAUACAUUACAAUCUCAUAAUCUACAAUCUCUCUUUCUUCCCGCCCUGGAUAACGUCGGCCAGCAAGAACGGGGCUUUUGGUCGCCUUUCUGCCACUCGUUUGCAAUCGUACUUGCCUUGAAACGGGUUCGUCUCAACCCUCGACUCUCGAAAUUGGGAUCGGCCUCUGCGAAGCCUUCUACUGCUGUUCUAGAGUGCGACGAGAAGAAAUCGCAGCCGUUUGCCAAUCAAGGAAUACCAAAUUCUCAACUUCCCCUAGCUGGACGAUGAGAUGUUGAGGGGAGAAGGUACAUGUCCACAAGCUACCCACAUGCAAAACCGCGUACGGCAAGGGUUUUCAACGGUUUGAUAUCAACGGGCAAAGCAACCUUUGUUUUUCCAGCAGCAUCACUUGCCCUCCAUCUCGCAAACAAUUCAAAGUUCUUCGCGUCCUCCCCUCCGCGGAGAUCAUAAAUGUCACUUUUCUGAAUGCAGAGAUGCGUGCCGUCGAAGUGAGCGAUGAGGAUGCGGCCCUUGAUGCCGAAAUGGGAGAUGACCAGUACCUAUACAACACGGGUAUUAGUACAGGGCUUGGAAAAGUUAUUAGGGAUAAAUGAGGCGCAUGUAUAACUCACUGGAAAGACUUCAUGUUGUGGAUACUUCAAUAUGCUCAUUCUCCAUCGCAUGAACACAAGGAUAGGGAGGAUCUCGCUUCGCCUUAGAGGUUCCUCUGCCUCUGCAUCUUGCAGUAUAUGGAAUUUACAAUGGGGAUACUCGACAGAAUAAGCCUCCACGUCUCCAUUCACCGACCAAUUGUAAUUUGCGCCUCCAGCAAGGUAUUCAGCACGGGCAUUCGGAAUACCUGGAUCCUCCCGGUAACACCUUGUAAGCCUGCAAAAAAUGGGUUGUUAGCAUUAUAUUAAAAUCCGUAUCACAGGUUUCAAAAACAAGAGACUUGGCACAAGAGGGAAAGCAGAAUCUCUCACAAAGUAUCAGACCACUCUGUGUGUCCUGAGCCUGGCUUAAGUUGAGACCCCAUCCACCGUGAAGCAUUUUCUAUGAUGCCCAGUGCCCGGUAAGAGUGCUUGUUGUCCUCAGCUUCCGGCUCGUACAGCUUAAGGCGCCCAGUACCCCAUGGAACUCCAGGGACUUCAUUUUCAGAGACUGGUGCAUAGAAACAAGGUCCCGUCGCAGCCGGUUGGGUAAGAUCUAAGGGUAAAAGUUUGAUUCCCAGUCGUGUAAGGUCACUGUCACCGAAGGAGGAAGGUUUGAACUGUUUUACCAUCAUGUACAUCGACCUCAACCGACGGAUCACGACCUUCUUUCGCUCCCCACUAUCAGGGUCUGUGAUCGCCGGCAUUGCUUUGGACGCAGUUGCGUGGCGUUUUAUGUAAGGAGAGAUCAAGUCUGAAAAGCGACUUAAGGAUAUUUUGCGGCACUGAAUGUUGAGAGGAUGCGGUGUUUGUGCCAGGGA
rnacentral:sRNA from 1 species